AUUGAACGCUGGCGGCAUGCUUUACACAUGCAAGUCGAACGGUAACAGGCCUUCGGUGCUGACGAGUGGCGAACGGGUGAGUAAUGCAUUGGAACGUAACCCGAGGGGGGGGAAAAAGCAGCGAAAGCUGUGCUAAUAACGCAAGUGAUUCGAGGAUGAAAGCGGGGGACCGAGCAGCAAUGUUUGGCCUCGCGCCUUUUGAACCGCCGAUGUCGGAUUAGCUAGUUGGUGGGGUAAAGGCCUACCAAGGCGACGAUCCGUAGCUGGUCUGAGAGGACGACCAGCCACACUGGGACUGAGACACGGCCCAGACUCCUACGGGAGGCAGCAGUGGGGAAUUUUGGACAAUGGGCGCAAGCCUGAUCCAGCAAUGCCGCGUGCGGGAAGAAGGCCUUCGGGUUGUAAACCGCUUUUGGCAGGAACGAAACGGUGUCCGCUAAUACCGGGCGCUAAUGACGGUACCUGCAGAAUAAGCACCGGCUAACUACGUG
rnacentral:rRNA from 1 species